AAUUUGCUCUGUUAGAACUGUCGUGGCCUAAGAACGGACACAACAGUUGGCGAUAUCAAAUGGCUCAUUAGUAGACACCGUCCCUCCCUCCUCUUCUUAUCCGAGACGAAGAUGAGGGAUAGCAGAGCUUAGAAACUCAUGUGGUUUCUUGGUUUCUCGGGUGCUUAUCCAGUCAACAGUAAUGGGUUGAGCGGUGGUUUGGCUCUGUUUUGGUCAGCCUCCUUGAAGGUCGAUUUAAGAGCUUUCUCCUCGCAAUUGAUUGACAUUAUUGUUUCAAUGAGGAAGGUAUCGAGUGGCGUGCUACACUUGUAUAUGAUGAACCAAUAUAAGAGCCAAGGCAUCAAUUUUGGGACAUAA
rnacentral:rRNA from 1 species